rnacentral:rRNA from 1 species
AGUGAACGCUGGCGGUAGGCCUAACACAUGCAAGUCGAACGGCAGCACAGUAAGAGCUUGCUCUUACGGGUGGCGAGUGGCGGACGGGUGAGGAAUACAUCGGAAUCUACUUUUUCGUGGGGGAUAACGUAGGGAAACUUACGCUAAUACCGCAUACGACCUACGGGUGAAAGCAGGGGAUCUUCGGACCUUGCGCGAUAGAAUGAGCCGAUGUCGGAUUAGCUAGUUGGCGGGGUAAAGGCCCACCAAGGCGACGAUCCGUAGCGGGUCUGAGAGGAUGAUCAGCCACACUGGAACUGAGACACGGUCCAGACUCCUACGGGAGGCAGCAGUGGGGAAUAUUGGACAAUGGGCGCAAGCCUGAUCCAGCCAUACCGCGUGGGUGAAGAAGGCCUUCGGGUUGUAAAGCCCUUUUGUUGGGAAAGAAAAGCAGCAUGUGAAUACCCCGCUGUUCUGACGGUACCCAAAGAAUAAGCACCGGCUAACUUCGUG